CGGGAUGAACCGGAAGCGGGGAGAAAGGGCCCGAGAUUGCGUCGACGCGGAUCCCGAAAAGGGCGUCGAUCCGUCGCGACAGCGGGACGGUGGUCAUGGAAGUCGAAAUCCGCUAAGAAGCGUGUAAAACGUACCCGCCCAACGGAUCGGCCCCGAAAAUUGAUGGCGCUCGAACGCAACCCUCGAACCCCGCCGACGGAGGCUAGGGGAGGCCCCGUCGAGUAGGCGGACGCGCGGGUCGCUUCGACGCUCCCGCGCGAGCGGGGGCGGAGCGGCCCGUGGUGCAGAUCUUGGUGGUAGUAGCGAUCACCCAGGCGAGAACCCUGAGGGCCGAAGUGGAGAAGGGUUUCUCGAGAACGGCACUCGCUCGAGAGUUAGUCGAUCCUAAGCUGCCGGCGGCAGCCACGAAACGGUCGAUCGGGCGCGAGCCCGGCAGCCACGACCGGGCAGCGAAAGGGAAUUGGGAACCUCCUUCCCAAACCCGGAACCGGAACGAGGGUGGC
rnacentral:rRNA from 1 species